CGAUGCCAAACGCCGCUAGAGGCGCUGGCUGUCCUAUUAUUGGUGUGCUAAAAAACCUGACCGAAAAAUGUACCGUUUCUACUACGGGGUCUCAUGAAUAUUCAGGAAGUCAAAACGUGGUCACGUGGCACUUUUCCGGAACCUGGUGAGCUAAAGUUAGCGGACUGCCAUAGCAGCUUAUAUUUACUAUGGAAGAAGAGUAUUCACAACCAUUAUUCAUAACAGAUUCUGAGGAGAGUGAAAAAGAAAUUGGAGAAAGUGAAUCUCAAGCACAGACGCAAGCUCCAAGAUUCAUGCCACUUUUCACUCCACGCUUUAGUUCUGAGAAUACAGAUUCUGAUGACCAAAGUUUAAAAAUUCCAGAAAAGGUUGCAAGAUUGGACACACAGUUAACCUUUUCUGCAUCAACAUCAGAAUUUGAUUCAAGCCCGAAAAUAUUACGGAAAAAAGUAAAGAAACCAAAACGUGACCAGAACACAAAAGAAUGUCAAACUAUAAUCGUCGGUGAAAUAUUUGCUAACACUAAAAACAUGAUUAUGAGUGAUGAUAUCCAAGUCAAACGAGAUGAUAAUUUAAAUGUAGGAACACAAACUGUUAUAUCUGGACCAUUUAUGCUUUAUUCCCAAAACUUGUAUUUUAAUUUUUAAUUACUAAUAUGAUCAUGUAAUCAAAUCCCCCAAUUAUAAUCCUCAUGUCUUUUUGUGUCAAUCUUGGAUUUACUGUCCAGGCUGCAUUUUCUGACAGUAAGCCCAAGAUUAGAAAUUUGACUAAUGGGGCAGUCUUGGAGCUUUUUGAACAUGGUAGGUCUGUGAAUGCAAAAACUAUGGAUGUGAUUCAUAUAAUGUGUGAAAUUUGUGAUGUUAAAGACGCCAAUAUUACUGGGUGUAGAUCUAAGGUUUACAGGAUGAUUGACGCAGAUAAGAAAAAGCGAGCUGAAGUUCGAGAUUCAUAUAGGAAUCAAAUAUUUCAUUUUCCGUCUUCUGUUCCAACAUUAAGCACUACAGAAUCAACGACAGAGUUAAAACAGUCAAAAGAUGUUUCAGAGAGUAAGAUAGAGGAACUGCGAAACAUAAAAGAAGCAAACAGAAUGCUUAAAAGAAAAGUUACACGUAGGGAGGACUCCUUAGAGAAGAAAGUAGCUGCAAAGACUCGAAAACUAGAAAAAAUUACUGAAUCAACUCAACAGAAGUUAAAGAAAUCAGAGGAGUCAUUGAAACAAAAGACUGAGAUUCUCGAAAAGAAAAGGCAAAAGCACAGUCAAGACAUUUUUAGCUUUAGACAGUUAAAUAAUUAUGUUAAAACCCUGAAAAAACAUAUCGAUGGUGUUAAUGUAGUGCUUAAAGAAAGAUCUC